UGAAUGUCAAAAUACAAAUAACAAUGUU
rnacentral:sRNA from 1 species